UUGUAGGUACUCAUGGGGAACGAGGGUAUGUUUUAUGGUUGAAAGUCAGAAAGCCAACAAAUAACACUUUUGCAAAUACCUGGGUCUUGCAGGUCUUCAACAUGGUUGGUACUGAACAGCUACCUUUCUGCAUGCAGUUCAGUCCGUUGAAAUGUCGGAAGGUAGGUACCCCAAGGAUUUCAUUAGUACCACUCAACAGUCAAUUAAUAGAUGAAACCCACAAAGCA